CGAGAUGCCUCUCGGAUCGGUCGAACAGUGGCCUAGACAAUCACUAUUCUUCCCGGUCAGAGGGGCAUUUCCGUGUCACGGCACCCGCUCAACACCUCACUACAUCGGUGGAUCGAG
rnacentral:sRNA from 1 species